GGGCGUGUGGCUCAGUUGGUAGAGCGUUCGCUUAGCAUGUCCUUCGGAUUAUGCGAAAGGUCCUGGGUUCGAUUCCCAGCCCGUCCA